rnacentral:rRNA from 1 species
AUAGAAGCACCUACUUCUAUUGUAAAGUUAGGGAGUACUAACACUACAGGAUGGGCCGGCCGGCGCAUUAGCUAGUUGGUAAGGUAAUGGCGUUACCAACGGCGACGAUGCGUAGCCGACCUGAGAGGGUGGAUCGGCCACACUGGGACUGAGACACGGCCCAGACUCCUACGGGAGGCAGCAGUAGGGAAUCUUCCGCAAUGGACGAAAGUCUGACGGAGCAACGCCGCGUGAACGAUGAAGGCCUUCGGGUCGUAAAGUUCUGUUGUUAGGGAAGAACAAGUACCGUUCGAAUAGGGCGGUACCUUGACGGUACCUAACCAGAAAGCCACGGCUAACUACGUG